AUCCCAAACUCUUUAUCCUUCACCUUGACCCUUUCCCUUUGGUAAUCAUAAUUCCAUUUUUUGCUUUUUUUUUUUUGUCUUUUUGUCUUUUGUUGUUGUUGUUGUUGUUGCUAUUUCUUGGGCCGCUCCCGAGGCAUAUGGAGGUUCCCAGGCUAGGGGUUGAAUCGGAGCUGUAGCCACCGGCCUACGCCAGAGCCACAGCAACACGGGAUCCGAGCCGCGUCUGCAACCUACACCACAGCUCACGGCAACGCCGGAUCGUUAACCCACUGAGCAAGGGCAGGGACCGAACCGGCAACCUCAUGGUUCCUAUCGGAUUCGUUAACCACUGUGCCACAACAGGUACUCCUCGAGCAUCUUUUCAUGUGCUUUUUGGUCAUCUCUAUGUCUUUCUUUGGAGAAAUGUUUAUUUAGACCUUCUGUCCAUUUUUUUUAUAUAUAUAUUUAGCUGAAUGAGCUGUUUGUAUCUUUUAGAGAUUCAUCUCCUAUGUGUCACUUCAUUUGCAAAUAUUUUCUCCCAUUCUAUGGGUUGUCUUUUCAUUUGUUUAUGGUUUCCUAACUAUACCUUUUAAUUGUUAGAUAAAGCAACAUCAGACUGGCUGCUUAUAACUAGUUGUUCAAAAAUUUUGGUUUUAUCAUGUGUUGUCAGGUCAAUGAUCUUUGAGGGCAAGCCACACCUUACGUAGAAAGCCAAAUUCACAUUUCUUCAGCUUGAAAUGCACUCUGUCUUUUAAGCAGUUGGCCUUAAAAACUUUUAAGUCUUCCCUGGCACAAUAGUUUGAAUCAACUCAGAGAUUAUAUAGAUAAACAGCAACAGAUUGUAUAAAGAUUUAAAAUAACAGAUUACCUAGCAAGACAAAUUGGUUACUUGUAAAUUUAUUUGACAAACCCAUCAGUGUACACACACAUACACACACACACUAAUCAGCCAGGCAAUUUCUUACCACAAUAGCCAUUUUCAUAUGCUUUAGUAACUUUUCCAUCUGUCUUAUUUUCCUGUGGCUACUGUAACAAAUUAUAGACUUGGUGACAAAACAACAGAGAUGUAUUCUCUCACAGUUCUGGAGGACUGAAGCCUGAGUCAAGAUGUCCACAGAGCCACAUUCCCUCUGAAGGAUAAAGGAGAGAACACCUUCCUUGCCUCUCCCAGGUUCUGGUAGUUCUAGGCAUUCCUUGGCUUGAGGCAGCAUCAUUCCAAUCUCGGCCUCCCGGAUCCGUAUGUCCUUUCCUCUAUGUCUGUGUCAUCUCCCUUUGCCUCACUCUUUUAAAGCUACUUAUGAUGGCAUUUAGGGUCCACCCAGAUAAUCCAGGGCAAUCUCCUCUUCUCAAAAUUCUUAAUUUGAUUAUACCUGCAAAAUCCCUUUUCCAAAUUUUAAGGUAACAUACAUUCCAGGGUUUAGUACUUUAUAUCUUUGGGUGGCCAUUAUUCAACCUUGUACACCAUCAUCGUUUGUUGCUAAAUAGUACUGUUUAAAUUUCCAUUUACUCAGAGUUCCCAUAGUGGCUCAGCAGGUUAAGGACCCAGUGUAGUCUCCAUGAGGAUGAGGUUCCAUCCCUGGCCUUGCUCAGUGAGUUAAGGAUCUGGUGUUGCAGCAAACUGCAGUGUAGUUUGCAGAUGUGGCUUGGAUCUGGCAUUGCCGUGGUUGUUGUGUAGGCCAGUAACUGCAGCUCCGAUUCAACUCCUACACUAGGAGCUUCCAUAUGCCGCAGGUAUGACUGUAUAAAGAAAAAAAAUUAAUGAAUUAAUUUCCGUUUUAUAUGAAUACCAAAGACAAAAAUGCCCAGUAAAAUAAGAAUGAAAUAAAUAACUGGCUUAAGGGGAAAUUGGUUCAAGGAAAUGAUGAAUAGUAGUGUUUUAAAUUUUGCUUGAAAACAGAAUGGCCAAAUCAUGUUGAGUCAUAGAGUGUUGAUGGUCUCUAUUUAGAUCACAUAUUUGGUUCCCUCA
rnacentral:lncRNA from 1 species